UAGGCGUCACGUUGUGGAACG
rnacentral:miRNA from 1 species